UAAAAUGUAUGGUUGAUUUAAUUAAUGUAAGGGCCAUUCCGCCGAAUCGGUGCCUUUUCCGUCCCCAUUACAUUACAUGCAUAAAUAUGCAUGUAAAGUAUCUGUAUAAUAUAUUAUAUUAUCAAGCAAAGUGUCAUGCACAUGGUCCUAAUUGCAAUUUGAAGAUCCAUAAUGUACAACCUUAAUAAAAACUACCCAGAACACUGAAAAAAUAGGAUUUUAGCCUGUCCCCACUACACUUCACCAUUAAAUAUAAUGAUUAGAAACAAUCAAAUAUUUUUUUUUUAAUUAUUGGGUGACUCUUUUUCCAAUUUAGAUAUAAAACAUUUUCUCAGAGGAAAGUCAUAUGUUAGUUAAAAUACACAUUUUAGUCAUGUUUUCACUCAGUCCUGUUACCCUGACACAUUCCCCCCUCUAAACUUUGGGACAUUCCACAAGUCACAUGAUCAACAGGAAGUAGCAUCAUUUGAGUCUCCUGAUGCCAUGGGAAGACCAAAAGCAGACGAAGGGCGUUAAAGGUGAAAUACAUCAGAGAAGCUCCAGAAACAAACUGAAGAGAUACAAAAGCAGCUACAGACACAAACCCGAAAAAAGGAGAGGUAUAAGGAAAGCAUUCUGCGUAUGAAACAGAAUUAUCCAUCUCCACAUACAAAAGUUGACAAACAAAUGAGACCGCUACCACGCGCUACAAUGCAAAAGACCCUUCUCUUCCAUGACACCUUAGUGGAGAACAUCCGACAGAGGCACAGCAACUCAUGGGGAUCAAGGGAAAGGCAACUCAUCUCAAAGAUAGUGACAGGAAAACCCAAAAAAUAUAGGCUGCAACGUCGCUCCCAAAGUUCAUUUGGGUUGUCAAAGAAAAGGUGGCUGAUGAAUGCGAAGAAUGCCGAACUUAACUUAAAAUACCAAAGGAAGAGAAACAGUAGGGUGGUAGAUGGCUUCAAAAACAAAGUCCGAGAUUUUUACACCAUGGAUGAUGUCAGUUGAUUAACGACUGGGAAGAGGCAGACGCCUCACCCAGAAGAAAAUCAAAAAUCAGAAGAUGUUCCUGUUGGACACAAUGAAAAAUCUACAUGUGAAGAUUUUGGCAGAACAUGAUGGGUUUCUCAUCUUCUGCUCACUGAGCCCCUUUUGGGUUGUUCACCCAACUCUAAGUGACCAGGAGACUUGCAUGUGCAAACAGCAUGAAAAUCUCAGAAACUGCACCACCUGAAGAUCAUCAACACUUUCAAUCCUGAUGAACUUCUAAAAUCCGUCACAUGCAAAACGGAGUGCAUGAAGUGCAUGUAUGGAGACUAUGCGGUGUGCAAGGACCUCUCGUCCCGUCUCUGGCCAAUACAAUGAUAAGAAUGAAGUGACUUAUGUCCCGUGGGCAACUGUGGAUAAGGAGCACAAGAAUGACCCUAAUGGCGGUACAUCCAAAGUCACCAUCAAAAAAAGAGUUCCAGACCACCCAAGAGCAACUGCUGGAACAACUAAAUCUGAUGCUGCGCAAGUUUAAGAUGCACACUUACAACAUCAAGAAUCCGUUUACCCACAACAGGGCACUGAAACAAGGCUUCAAAGCACAUGAAUGCUUUAUUCAUGUUGACUUUUCAGAAAAUGACCUCUAAGUACGCCACAGAAAUACAGACGGUUCACUUCAGAGCAUCAUGUAAAUUGUUACAUGUAAAUUGACAACAAAGUCUGGGCCAAACCAGAGACUGUUUCUUAGAAAAGGCAAGUUUUUGUUCAUUAUUUUAUUGAAAUUCUAUAUGAAAUACAAUUGUAUGUCGUGUUUGCAAGUGAAUGUUUAAUAUGCAUAAAAUACUAUAAGUUAAUAUUUGAUACUGGUAGUCAAUGUAGAGCUCUGAGGAUUUGCUUAAUAUGCUCAGCUUUUUGUAUUUGUUGUCUUUCUUGCCUUUUGAGAGGAAUAUGGAGAACCCAUACUGUGCCGAGGCAGGAGCCUGACACACAUGCUGCACCCCGCACACACAAGCGCACGCUCACAUACAUACACACACACUCAUGCACACACAAUUGUUACAGCUUUUAUGUUGCUAUUUAGACUAAGAUAUUUUUUGCCAAAUAUAAUGACCUCUGUUUUAUCUUUGUUUAAUUGAAGGAAGUUCUGUGACAUCCAGUUAUUCUCCCUCACACACAAGCACUCAUUCCUGUUACUCAGCACUCCUUCCUGUUACUCAGCGCUCCUUCCUGUUACUCAGCGCUCCUUCCUGUUACUCAGCGCUCCUUCCUGUUACUCAGCGCUCCUUCCUGUGACCCAAUGUUCAUUCCUGUUGCUUCAUUGUUUUUUUAGUAAUAAAAAAACCACACAAAUAAAAAACA